UGAUCAGCCAUGCCGCGUGUGUGAAGAAGGCCUUUUGGUUGUAAAGCACUUUAAGCGAGGAGGAGGCUACCGAGAUUAAUACUCUUGGAUAGUGGACGUUACUCGCAGAAUAAGCACCGGCUAACUCUGUGCCAGCAGCCGCGGUAAUACAGAGGGUGCAAGCGUUAAUCGGAUUUACUGGGCGUAAAGCGCGCGUAGGUGGCCAAUUAAGUCAAAUGUGAAAUCCCCGAGCUUAACUUGGGAAUUGCAUUCGAUACUGGUUGGCUAGAGUAUGGGAGAGGAUGGUAGAAUUCCAGGUGUAGCGGUGAAAUGCGUAGAGAUCUGGAGGAAUACCGAUGGCGAAGGCAGCCAUCUGGCCUAAUACUGACACUGAGGUGCGAAAGCAUGGGGAGCAAACAGGAUUAGAUACCCUGGUAGUCCAUGCCGUAAACGAUGUCUACUAGCCGUUGGGGCCUUUGAGGCUUUAGUGGCGCAGCUAACGCGAUAAGUAGACCGCCUGGGGAGUACGGUCGCAAGACUAAAACUCAAAGGAAUUGACGGA
rnacentral:rRNA from 1 species